rnacentral:rRNA from 1 species
UACGAAGGGGGCUAGCGUUGUUCGGAAUUACUGGGCGUAAAGCGCGUGUAGGCGGAUCGUUAAGUCGGGGGUGAAAGCCCGGGGCUCAACCUCGGAAUUGCCUUCGAUACUGGCGAUCUGGAGCAGAGGAGAGGCGAGUGGAAUACCGAGUGGAGAGGUGAAAUUCGCAGAUAUUCGGUGGAACACCAGUGGCGAAGGCGACUCGCUGGACUCUUGCUGACGCUGAGACGCGAAAGCGUGGGGAGCAAACAGG